rnacentral:tRNA from 1 species
GAGGGUAUAGCUCAAGUGGUAGAGAGCAUGCUUAGCAUGCAUGAGGUCCUGGGUUCAAUCCCUAGUACCUCCU